CACAAAAGGCAAUAUGGCGACAGUCUAAAUUCUUUUCGAGAGUCAUCCAUAACAUUGUACUUAUAUUGCAUUUUAAUUACUUGUAAAAUAUUUUCGCGUGUGUUACUUAUAUACUGAUAGAACAGUUUCUCAACUUUAGGUGCUCCAUUAUGAUGCCUGCCGAUGGUGUAUUUCGUGGAUGGUUUUUAUUACAUGCUGUAUUUUAUUUUAUGUAUUAUUAGUUGGUUGCAGUUUUAGUUUUAAUUUUUGUUAUCUUUUUCGUUUUUGUUUUAGUGCGGCUCUGCGCUCUACAUUCUGUAUAGUAAUUUUAACUCACACAUAAUUUGUCUAAACUCUCCAAAUUCAAACAAAACCCCUAACAAAUUUUAAUGUAUUUUAGGAUGUAAGGUAGAAGCAAGCCAAUCACAAUGCCUCUUAUAUGUAUUUAGUAAGUUAUGAUUAUCUGUAUUAAUGUUCUCUGCUCAAAUAUCUAAUCCUUUGUGUAAAUAGACCUCUGAAUAUGUUCUAAUGAUGCGUGUCAAUCAUGAUGUCUCUUGUCUUGUAAUUAUUUAUUAAUUUAUACAAGUGAUGUUUCGUAGCUAUGAAUCUCUAUUAAUCCAUUCUAUUAAGUGUUACAAUACAAUAGGGAGCCAUCAUAGGGAGCAAGUUCACAUAUUUAUAGCAAAGGACAUUACCAAAAAGUUAACCUUGACGUUGUAACUCAAAGCGAAAUUUAUAUUCAAAGGCACAAUAAUAUGGACCUUUUCUUAUUUUCACUAAAUUCUACUCUCUUCAUAACAGCGGUCUGCAGGUCACGGAUAUACAAAAGAAAAGGUAUGGAGCAAUGAAUGACUCAUCAUUAAAUAUGGACCUUCCAUCAUUAUUUUUAAUUCGUUUUACAAUAUAUUACGUAUGUAUAUGUUUAUGUACCAGUAUAUUAUUAUAUUAAUUACAGACUUUAAAUUUUGAAUUUUAAUA